rnacentral:rRNA from 1 species
UACGAGGGGGGCGAGCGUUGUUCGGAAUUAUUGGGCGUAAAGGGCGCGUAGGCGGUGCGGUAAGUCACCUGUGAAACCUCUAGGCUUAACCUAGAGCCUGCAGGCGAAACUGCCGUGCUGGAGUGUGGGAGAGGUGCGUGGAAUUCCCGGUGUAGCGGUGAAAUGCGUAGAUAUCGUAAGGAAGACCAGUGGCGAAGGCGGGUCUCUGGACAGUUCCUGACGCUGAGGCACGAAGGUCAGGGGAGCAAACGGG